AUCGCCUUGACUCUACUCGACUUGACGCAUUCUGCGUCCGUUUUCCAUUGCAUAUUGAGUAACGCGUGGCUGGUCACCAUAGCUACGCGUGAUGAUGUAAUUUUCAACGCGACUCAAAACAGCACGUCAGCUACUUGCCACAGCCAGAAAAAAUUUUUUGUUUCAAAAGAAGCUGAAGGAAGCAACAAAAAUCACAGCUGAAAGAAAAAAACAGGAGUUUGGAAAAUCCAACGGAGUUCAGACGUUGACAUGACUGCUGUUCGCCGACACAAAAGGAGCAUUCACGCUUUGCAAAAUCGCCGCCGCAGACCUUCUGGUGGGCGAUGUCCGACUGAUGAGAUCUCUGGUUCUGACCUGCUGUGCUUCGUGUAAUCUUUAUGAGAGUCAUGGAGAGGCUUAUGACAAAGACUGGGAUGCAUCUGGGACAGCAGAGCCAGGGGGGACACUGUCACAGGGUGCAGAGGAAGAAGACCGGGAUGUACGGGAGGGUUUGAUGCGCUACUUGAAUAGCUAAAUAAAAACUUUUCUU